GGAGAGGUGGCCGAGUGGUUGAAGGCGCACGCUUGGAAAGCGUGUAAAGGGAAACCUUUCGCAGGUUCGAAUCCUGUCCUCUCCGCCA
rnacentral:tRNA from 1 species